AUUCUUUGUUAGUUCAUAAGCGUGAUGAUUGAGUUUUCAUGCACAUGCGUGAGAUGUGUCUCUCACAAAUCUUGUUUCGAUGUCAGCACAUU
rnacentral:snoRNA from 1 species